rnacentral:lncRNA from 1 species
UGAUGGCUAAUUUCAAGAAGUAGGUCAGAGUAAAAUGCGUGUCAUUGAUGGCUAAUUUCAAGAAGUAGGUCAGAGUAAAAUGCAUGUCAUUGAUGGCUAAUUUCAAGAAGUAGGGCAGAGUAAAAUGUGGGUCACUAAAGCAGUAGGUCAGAGUAAAAUGCAUGUCAUUGAUGGCUAAUUUCAAGAAGUAGGUCAGAGUAAAAUGCGUGUCAUUGAUGGCUAAUUUCAAGAAGUAGGUCAGAGUAAAAUGCGUGUCAUCGAUGGCUAAUUUCAAGCAGUAGGUCAGAUUAAAAUGCGUGUCACUGAUGGCGAAUUUCAAGAAGUAGGUCAGAGUAAAAUGGGUGUCACUGACGGCUAAUUUCAAGAAGUAGGUCAGAGUAAAAUGCGUGUCAUUGAUGGCCAAUUUCAAGAAGUAGGUCAGAGUAAAAUGCGUGUCAUUGAUGGCUAAUUUCAAGCAGUAGGUCAGAGUAAAAUGUGGGUCACUGAAGCAGUAGGUCAGAGUAAAAUGCAUGUCAUUGAUGGCUUAUUUCAAGAAGUAGGUCAGAGUAAAAUGUGGGUCACUGAAGCAGUAGGUCAGAGUAAAAUGCAUGUCAUUGAUGGCUAAUUUCAAGAAGUAGGUCAGAGUAAAAUGUGGGUCACUGAAGCAGUAGGUCAGAGUAAAAUGCAUGUCAUUGAUGGCUAAUUUCAAGAAGUAGGUCAGAGUAAAAUGCAUGUCAUUGAUGGCUAAUUUCAAGAAGUAGGUCAAAGUAUGCGUGUCAUAGAUUGCUAAUUUCAAGAAGUAGGUCAGAGUAAAAUGCGUGUCACUGAUGGCUGCUAUGAAGCAAGAGGUCAUGAUAAAAGCUGCAUCACAGAUGGCUACUAUCUAGUAUUAUGACUGUUAGGAUAGAAUGUAUCUAACAAUAGUAUGUCAUGAUAAGGAUCAGAGUCAUUACUGAAUACUGCCAUAAAGUAAGUCCAGAAUAAUGUCACGUUAUUGUUGUAAUACUUGGUUCAAUGGAAAGAAAGCAGGCAAAGAUAUUUGCUUCAUGUUUAAAAGUAAAACUGACAUGGUUUUAUUUAGUCCAGAAAUAGUGUUAUAGGGAUCGAAGAAUGACUGGAAUUGUACCAGUAGCAAUUCAAGAUAAUGGUUUCUCUUAGCAAUAUUUUCAUCUGGAUAAAUUCAAAUAUAACUGAUAAUAUUAUCACUGGUGGAGCAUGGUGAACUUUGGAGUUAAGUCUUGUUGCCUUAUGCCAAAUGUAGAUUUUCACUUUUGAGUAGACUCAAAUGUAUUUAUCAGCGGAAAAAUAAACAAAUGAAUAUAACAUAUAACUAGCCUAAGUAAAUGUUACACAGAGGCUAUAGUUCAUUUUAGGGCAAUCAGAAGAGUAUGAUUUAAGAAAGUCAUAUUAACCAUUUCAACAAAAGUACAAAAUUUAAUUUUUGUACUGUUAUUUCUUGUAAGAUUAUAAACAUACUAAAACAGAAAAAUAAUUUAGAACAACUGAUAUACUGAGAAAAAGUAAUAAAUUGUAGGUAAAUUUAAAUAAAAAAAGCCUUUAAAUGACUGUUAAAAUAUAAAUUAACCUUUUAAUAGAUCAUUUAAGCUACCACAUAUACCACAGUUUUGCUACCACACUGACAAAAGUUUCUGUUUCUGGCACAUUUACCAGAGAUUUGUUAAAACCAUUAAAAAUUCUAGCUUUUGCAUUAAAAAUCAUUUCAUUAAAAUACUAACCUUUACCAAAGACUUUUAGUUAAAAAAUUGUCAAAAUACCAACAGUCUACCAAGAUUUUAAAAAGUUAUCUAGAAAAUCCCUUAUCAGUUAAAAUUAACACAGCAGCAGAGUUUUAACCUUUAGCCUGCUGGCAGCAACUGAUCUUGCCUUUGCGACCAGUGCAGACCAAGAUCAGCAUGCACAUCCAUGCAGGCUGAUCAUGGUCUGCACUGUUUGCUAUUCAGUCAGUAAAUUUUCAGUAAGCAUCCCUUCAAAUGGCAAAUGGUACUGCCCAAAUUGAAUGAUGGACCAGUCCAUUAUAGAAAUUCAGCAGGGUAAAGGUUAAAGAAAGACCAUCACGAAGCUAAGCAGUAUAUUAUAUAUUAUAAAUACAAGUAUCAACUACAAUAGUUAGGUGAAGCCAGGGAAUAGAAUGUACACAAGAUGCACAAAACUGGAAGAAAACAGUCAAAUUAACAAAAACCUUGAAAUACAGUUUAUAAAAUGUAAUAUGUAAUUAUAAUAAUAUAUCCACAAUUGUUCUGUAGGGCCCAUAGUCAUCAAAUUUUAAAGUUCGAUUCUCAGUCUUCAGAAUGAAAAAUAUUUAAGUUUCCUAUAACUUUAUUUUUAAAUAUAUAUUGGUAAAAGUUCACAGAGGUAUCUGUAGCAGACCCAUGUACAUUCAUGCGAAGUUUCAUAACAAUUUAUGCAAAUAUAACACUCAUAGAGAAAAAAAUAUAUAUAAAUAAUUGCCUUUUUAAGCCUAUGUUUUAGACUUCUAACAUUGAUGAAAACAGGCCCUGUUUGAAAAACUGAAAUUGCUCAGUUAAGCAUUCAGAUAAUGACAUUAAUAAAUUCUAUGCCCCCUUAACAAGCACCAGGCAUAAGUAAAACAGGAUAUGCUUAAUCAAGGCCUCCAGUGGGCUCUGGGAAACAAAAUUUCAAUCAAGAACAAUUCAUUUAAAAAAAUGUUAACUUGGCAAAUAAGAGCACUAGAUUCAUAAUUCCUUCAUUUUGGCAGCACCAGUAGUAGGAUACCCUGUUUUAAUACCUUUAACCUUAACUAACAAUUUCAACAAAAACAAUGCAACAUUUUUCUUCAUCUCAAAGCUACCCAACCUAUUGAAUCAUACAAAGAAGAUAUCAUCUAGUUAAAUUAGAAAAAAUUACACCCACAAAUGUCUAAAAGUAGGAGCAAUACAAUAUUGUAACUUAAUAUUAACAUUAUUUUAUCAGAAAAAUAAAAUAAAUCCAAUCUUACACACUGGAACCUGAUAUUUAAAACAAAUAAGUUUAUGGUAUAGAAUUAUAACUGUAAAAUCAUUUAAUUUUGUGGGUACUAAAAUGUUUUGGUUUUGUCAAAAUUGUCUUACUUGGGGGUGGGAGGGGCAUAACUUGUAGAUUUCAUCUUUUAAAUAUUAGAUAAGGAGAAAAUUCGCCUUUCAGUUUAGAUCUAUUUUUAUGGAUUGAUGCAAACAAUGAAAUCAAUGAAAAAAAGUCCCCACACAAAUAGAAAUGAUUUUACAGCAUUCUGUUUUCUUACAUGUUACAA